UUGCGCCUCUAGGUAUUCCUGGAGGCACGCCUGUUCGAGCGCCAUUACACACUCCAAGCUCUGCUUGAUGUUGGACGGCCCGAGAGAUCGGACGUCUGGAACGUGUGGGCGUCGGGCGUCGGACCACGAGCGUAGCAAGACCCUCAAGUCAAGUCGUUCAGUGGAGCCGGCGGUCGACCGCCUCUUUAUAAAACUUAAUUCACAAGUUUGGCCUCGGAUCAGGCGGGGAUACCCGCUGAACUUAAGCAUAUCAAUAAGCGGAGGAAAAGAAACCAACCGGGAUUGCCCCAGUAACGGCGAGUGAAGCGGCAACAGCUCAAAUUUGAAAUCUGGCGGUCUGACCGUCCGAGUUGUAAUUUGCAGAGGGAGUCUCGGGUUGAGGGUCGGUCCAAGUCUCUUGGAACAGAAUACCGCAGAGGGUGAGAGUCCCGUCUCCGGCCGACACCGAUGCCCAUGUGAGGCCCCUUCGACGAGUCGAGUUGUUUGGGAAUGCAGCUCUAAAUGGGUGGUAAAUUCCAUCUAAGGCUAAAUACCGGCCAGAGACCGAUAGCGAACAAGUAGAGUGAUCGAAAGAUGAAAAGCACUUUGAAAAGAGAGUCAAACAGUACGUGAAAUUGUUGAAAGGGAAGCGUAUGAGGGCAGACUUGGCCGCGAGUGUUCAGCCCGUCUUCUGGCGGGUUUACUCUCUCGCGGACAGGCCAGCAUCGGUUUCCGGGGCCGGACAAAGGCGGUGGGAAUGUAGCUCUCCUCGGAGAGUGUUAUAGCCCGCCGUGCAAUGCGGCCUCUGGGGACCGGAGGACCGCGCUUUAUGCAAGGAUGCUGGCGUAAUGGCCUUAUACGGCCCGUCUUGAAACACGGACC
rnacentral:rRNA from 1 species